GCUCUCUCCUAGGAGAGUACCAAAAAAUUAGAACAAAAUAGAAAAGAUUAGCAUGCUCUGUAGGAAUAUGACACGUAGAAAUCAAGAAAUGAUUUAAAUUUUU